rnacentral:tRNA from 1 species
GAGGGUAUAGCUCAGGUGGUAGAGCACAUGUUCGGCAUACAUGAGGUCCUGGGUUCAAUCCCCAGUACCUCCU